rnacentral:tRNA from 1 species
ACCUGGGUGGCUCAGUGGUUGAGCAUCUGCCUUUGGCUCAGGUCGUGAUCCUGGGGUACUGGGUUCAAGUCCCACAUCAGGUU